rnacentral:rRNA from 1 species
GUCCACGCCCUAAACGAUGCGAACUAGUCGUUGGGGGAGCAAUCCCUUAGUGACGCAGCUAACGCGUGAAGUUCGCCGCCUGGGGAGUACGGUCGCAAGAUUAAAACUCAAAGGAAUUGACGGGGGCCCGCACAAGCGGUGGAUGAUGUGGAUUAAUUCGAUGCAACGCGAAAAACCUUACCUACCCUUGACAUGUCAGGAACCCUGAUGAAAGUUGGGGGUGCUCGAAAGAGAACCUGAACACAGGUGCUGCAUGGCUGUCGU